GACGAACGCUGGCGGCGUGCUUAACACAUGCAAGUCGAACGGAAAGGCCCUGCUUUUGUGGGGUGCUCGAGUGGCGAACGGGUGAGUAACACGUGAGUAACCUGCCCUUGACUUUGGGAUAACUUCAGGAAACUGGGGCUAAUACCGGAUAGGAGCUCCUGCUGCAUGGUGGGGGUUGGAAAGUUUCGGCGGUUGGGGAUGGACUCGCGGCUUAUCAGCUUGUUGGUGGGGUAGUGGCUUACCAAGGCUUUGACGGGUAGCCGGCCUGAGAGGGUGACCGGCCAGAUUGGGGCGGGACUAAGGCCCGGACUACUCCGGGAGGCAGGAGUGGGGUAUAUUGCAGAGUGGGCUGAGGCCGGAUGAAGCCCAGCAGUGUGCGGGGGGACGGCAUGCGGGUUGUAAACCGCUUUAGCCUGUGAAGAAGCGGGAGUGAGGGUAAUGGGUAAAGAAGCACCGGCUAAAUACGUG
rnacentral:rRNA from 1 species